rnacentral:lncRNA from 1 species
CCCCUCUUGCCAGCACUUUCCUGUGUGUCAAGCUGUGGAAGCCCAUACCGAAUAAACACCAAGGUCUUACAAGACUGAAUGCUCUUCCCACGCCUUGCAUCUGAAGGCAGAUGUGAAAGCGAGUGUUCUCUCUGGGGAGAGGAAGGAGCAAGAGUCUAUGUAAACACACCAUGUGCUCUGUCCUGCUGCAGGGGUGAGGCUGCUGGGCCUACAGGAAGGAGUCCUGGGUCCUGGACUCCACAGUCCUGUCCAGUCGAAGUGGCAUGUGUGCCCUGGUCCUAGUAGGGAGGCCCAGUGAGGCCACAAGGCCACUCUCCAGGAGCCCACACCCUCCCAAAGAAUGCUACCUGAGCCAUGGUAGUCCACACUGGCCACCUCAUGCCCAGGCUGUGUGCUCCCUCAGCCAUCAUCCUCCCCACACACUUCAUCUACCACAGUGCUCUGAUCAAGGCAGGGACCUGCCACCUCCCGCAUCACCUGCACAGUCCAGCACCCUGGGGGCACGGACAGAUGCUCAGCUGACCUGAACAGAGCCAGCCCCUGCUGGACCAUGAAAUGUCUCAGCCUGGCAGAGUCUGUCUGCAGCCCUCUGCAUCUGGGCCAGCCCUCCUCUUGUGGGGGAAGACAGAGACCAGCAAGGCCAGUGUCUCCGGGUGUCACCACGGGGCAUCUCUGACCAUCUUCCCAGUCGCUCGGGCCAGCAGCUGAUGAAGGAGGUUCUCAAAGAGUGAUGGUCAGCCUGGCAUCCUUCUCCUCCCUCUCUUCCUGGGCCCUGCCUGGCCCAUGCUCCUGGGGCAGGAUCAGCCUCCUAAUUAUUUGUCAAAAGGAUUAAGACUUGGAACCGUUCCCAUCUGAGGCAAAGAAAAAUCAUUUUUCUUCCCACUGCCAUAAAGAGGAGAUAUCUUAGGGUGAGCCUCUUCGGAACUGGGUGAACGUGAGCCUUUCCAAAAAAUACAUUUUUUUUAAAAAGAAUUAUUUUGUAAAUGGGGGAUAUUUUUGUGAAGAUGGCUCUAGCUAAGCAAGCAAUAGCCUGGGGUCAAAGGUCAUCUUGUCCAUUUCCCCUUUCCAGGAGCCUCCAAUCACUUUUCCUGUGUCCCCUCCCUGGCUGCUCCCUCCAGCACCCCAUUCCUGGAGGUCGGGGAAUACCAGCAGAGAAGAGCUGGCUGCAGGGAAGGAUGUGGGCCGUGUGGGUGGCAAGCACAACAGGUCCACAUUUUCACUUCCAUGUUCCUGAAAAUGGCUCCCUAUAAAAUUCUCAACAUAUGCAAUAAACACCUGAACAUGGCCAUUGCUGUCUACUGGAAGGACCCACCUCUGGCCCGUGCCUCGUUCCCCAUCAAAUGGGAGGAAACAGACGGUGCAGGUGCACUCCCAGGCCCUGGCACCUCCUGGCAAGUGCCUUCACCUCCCUGGGACAGUAACGGAACCACCCAGGAAGGCUGCUGGGAGGACUAAGGGCAAUAGAGCCUAUAAAGGCAGCCCUGGUGCACAGCCACCCCUCGAGACAGGUCUUCUGAGUCCACACCAUCAUUGCCAGUCUUCCAUAGUGGACCCCGUGACCGGCAGGGAACAUGUCUUUCUUCUCUUUGUAUCCCCAGUGCCUGACCUAAUGUCAACAAAUCUGCUGAAUAACAGAAGGAGGUUGAGCCAUAGGGACUCACUGAGGCCUCUGGAGAGUUGUGGGCAUUCCCAGAUUCAGAGAAGUCCCAAGAAGACAGGCUGCAUCGCCCUGUGGAACUGUUCAUUCUUUGUGGUCCCACCAGCCCCAUCCCUCUGGCUCCUGACCAUUGUGGGAGCCUUCCAUGGUGGGGGAGGGGAUGGCGGCAGGUGUGGCGAAUGCACAAAAGGGGGAAUUAUCUCUUUAAAGGACAGUAAUUAGUAAUUCUGGCUGAUGGCUGUGCUGUGCUGUUUUAAUGAAGAGUUCUAUUUUUACAGAAAACACAUAAUUGAGUGAAAAAGCAGGCUAUUCUUUGAGUCAGGCGGCCACGCCUCUGGAAAGUCUAACUCCUGGGCCAGGAGGCCAGAGCCUGUACAUUGCACCAAGGAUACACAGGAAUUGGGCCCCACCUUACAUGCCCCAGGUCCGACUCAGUGCUGAAAAGCAGGGUCCCAGUCUGAUGAUUCGAGUCAAACCCUGGUUUCCCUUUUUCUAGCCAUGUGACCACCGGGUCAAGUCACUUUAACUUCUCAGAACCUCAGUUUUGUAUCUGUAAAAUGGGAAUGACAGCAUUUUAUAUAGUAUUGUAUACCGGCCGGGGAGGGGCAGGGGGGAGGGAGGGUUGUUAUGUGGAAACAAUGCACAUUAAGGCCUAGCAGGGCAUUCUUACUUGAUAAAGCGCUCGAUCCAGGUUUGCCCUACCUGCCAUUAUUCACCCAGCCUCGAUUACGAUGACGUACAGUUUGCUUACUUAUGCCUUCAUUUGUAAAGUGAGAGUAAUACGGUUGCUCUAUCUCCUGGGGUCCCUGAGGGGAUCAGGGAGUUAAUGCAUUUAGAGUGCUUAGAGCAAUGUCUGGUGCAGAGCACGCACUGGGCGCACUGCUGUCUUGUUAUUAUCGAAGCACACGGGGUUCGAGCGUCUCAGGGUUGUUCAGCCCGCCACGCGGCUUGGGUUCUGGCCUCUUCUCUGCCCUGUACCAGCUGUCUGACCCUGAGAUAUCAUCUAGCUUUCCCAUUAGCUUCUUCAUCUUUUCAAGUAGGAGGGCUGCAAAGAGCAAAAAGUAAACACACCCAAACAACAAAACAGGGUAAGUGGAAUGAGGGCUGUAAGACGCCAACAUCCCUGUGGGUUCCCUCCUUCCCUCCAGAGUAACAAACAAAAUGAUUCCUGUGGUCUACCCGUCGGAGGGUCUACUGCGGUGUGUGGGUGCCCAGCUGUGGGUCCCCCACAGGGAGGAGGGGGAGGCAGGGUGCAGGCCACAGUCUGCUCUGAAGGUGCUUCCAUCACCACGGGGAAGCUCAAACUGUAUAUCCCAGGCAAUCAGGGAACAAACUAGAAGAGAAUCCAGUACUCAAUGGAGUGGUUCAGUUUUGACCAACAGGAGUGAGGGGUGGGGGGCUUUCAGGGUAGCUAGAGAGGAAGGCUGGCCCAGCAGGGAUGAGGACUUGAAAGUGGGGCAGGUUGCCCAGCUGACUAGGCACAGAGGCCCCACCCACGGAUGGGAAGGGACAGGGGAAGGGAAGAAGCAGGCCCUCUGGUAGGAGUUGGCUCACCCCCUUGCCCUCAUUCAGGCUGUGGGGUCACCAGGCUCCAGCACGUGGCUCUAACCAGUGGCCCAGGAAGCCAGGCAGGUCCUGGGCAACACAGGUCACAUACACUCUACCAAAUUCCAUGCCUCUGAGAGACUCCACCAGGGAAAUUAACUGGUUAAACUCACACACAUGCUCUUUGAGGGUGUUAUCUUAAAGUGACUCUAAGAGGAGUGACCUCCCUGAAAGGCCAUAGUGAAGCCCAGCUUUCUUCCCUUCCCAGAGACUUACCCCAAACAUGGAAGGGACCCUGAUGGCAGCUCUUAGCUGUAAAAACCAAUGAUUUUACCUUGGGUCUGGAGGAUUAAAUGACCCAUGUACCCUAAUCUUUUAAGGCUCACACUGAUCCCUCACCUCUUAAUGAAUUCAUUCAAAGUGAACCGAUUUUGGGGCACUUGGGUGGCUCAGUUGGACAAACAUCAUCUGACUCUUGAUUUUGGCUCAGGUCAUAAUCCCAGGGUUGUGGGGCUGAGCCCAGUGUUGGGCUCCGAGCUGAGCAUGGACCCUGCUUAAGACUCUCUCUCCUACUCUCCGCCAUGCCCCGCUCCCCCCUCCCUUGCCCAACCUACCUCCCUGAUAGCCAGCAAGCUUCCGAUUCCUGAAAUCAGCUCCUCCUUGCUUCAAAAGUCCUGCCCCUGCCUGGAGAAUAGCCUCAGGGCAUUUCUGAGAGGGUUCCCUAAACUCUCUGAUGGCUGGCUGCAUGGCAAGGCCUUCUUUUUUUUUUUUUUUUCUGUUUAUUUACUUAUUUUGAGAGAGAGGGAGAGAGAAAGGGAGAGACAGAAUCCCAAGCAGGCUCCUCGCUGUCAGCACAGAGCCUGAUGUGGGGAUUGAUCCCAUGAACAGUGAGAUCAUGACCUGAGCUGAAAUCAAGAAGGACACUUAACCGACUGAGCCACCCAAGUGCCCCAUGGCAAGGCCUUCUUAUCUGUGCAGACCCAAGGCUGACCCGGCAGGCCUCCAGACCCUGCUUCCCUCAGCUACUGCUACCUCCAGUUAUCUCCAGAUGACUCUACAAACACAAAUGCGUGAUCUUGAAAGAUAAGAACACAAACCAUGCAGAGCCUUUCCAUAACCAUUCAGGAGUGGAAGCACAUCCAGAAAGAAGGUCCCUAGGUGGAACAAAGGUAGGCUCCCAACCUAGUAUAAGACACCAAGAGGCAAACACCUUCAUCUUAGUCUAUAAUCUCAACCCACUGAGCACACACUUGGGACCCUACGACCACCCACUGUAGCAGGGAGGCCAGCCCUGCCUCAAGGGCAAGAAUGCCCUCUCUCCCAGAGGCAGAAAGGCUUUCUCUUGGGGCUCGGCCACAGUGCCUAUCUCCAGUAAAUGUUGUAAGCCAGGAGAUCAGGGAGUGAGGAUCAGGAAACCAAGGGCUAAAAUCACUUCAACAAGUAAAGAAUUCCUUUUGGAAAGAACUGCAAAUAAUACCUUCCUUUCCUUUCUCUCUACCCCAAACAAACAAAAUAACCUGGGUCAUCCACCCGCCUGUCUGAGCACAAGCAGACUGCCAUGGGGAGACUGAGGACUCUGUCUGACUACAGUGUCACACAGAGCAAGAUCACAGGAGGCUCCACAGAACAACCAGUGAAGGGAAAUGCUGAAUGUCAAACCAGCUUAGCUGAUGAGGAACUGACCUUUGGGGAAGAAAGUGCUGGUGCCAGUGAUUACGCCUGGCUUAACACUUCCCUCAGCCACAUGGCCUGCAAGUUUAACCCCUGGCUCUUGUCCUCACUGGGGGCUGUGGCGGCCAAAAAUGUUUAAUGAAUCCAGCAAAGUGAUAAACUAUGUUUGUGUU